AUUAGGAAAUUACGAGAGAAACCAUAUACGUGGAAUGACACGAGACGUUAUUUGUGUUCCUCCUUUUCAAGACUGGUUUCUAAUGGUGGAUGAGCUUGUUGUUUCUGAUGGUGGAUGCUUGCAGGUUCGCUGGACCUCCUAGCCUUGUGCAGUUGGACCUCCUGGCCUUGUGCAGCCUUAAGUUGCAG